AAUCACUUGUCUUCUAAUUAAAGACUGGAAUGAAUGGCUUAACUAAUUUAUUUUGUCUCAUUUUAAUAUUUCAAAUUUUAUAUUUUAGUAAAAAAGCUAAAAUUUAUUUUAAAGACGAGAAGACCCUAUCAAGCUUAAUAAUCAAAUUUUAUUUUCAAAAUAAAAUUAAAAUUAUUUUACUGGGGCAGUAAGUAAAUUGAUUUUACUUUAUUAUUGUAAGUUAUAACUUUAGAAAAAUCAAAAAAUUUUUAAGUAAAAAUUAGUUACUGUAGGGAUAACAGCAUAAUUUUUUUAAAGAGAUCUUAUCAUCAAAAAAGUUUGUGACCUCGAUGUUGGAUUAAGAUCCCCAUUUGCGCAAUAGCUAAUAAGG
rnacentral:rRNA from 1 species